AUUGUAUCAGUAAAUUCUGUGAAGAUUUUUUAGUUAUAAGUGCAAUCUUGUCACCUGACCUGAUGGCAACUGAAAUGUUGAAAAGUCAACCUAUUUAACCCCUAUUUGAGAGUGCACUCUAGUAAUUUCAAUCGUUGUUAACAAAAAGCAUAAAAGGAAAAGUAGAUUUCUAAUUUAUUUAUUUAUUUUUGUACAAGUGCAGUAAAACCUGGAAUGCGAUUCCGUGAAGUUGGUGAAGUCAUUAAUCGCCAUGUAACUAUGUCGGGAUUCUCUGUGGUAAUUUGUAGCCUGAGUUUUGAGUUGUGAUGCAUUUUCAAUUUUAACAAAUCAUGCCUAUUAAUUUUGUAUUGCACCAACAGGUGAAAUCAAUUUGUGGUCAUGGUAUUGGGGAGCUUUUUCAUUGUGCACCAAAUAUUCCCCAUUACACAAGUAUGUUCAACAAAGAAACUUCUUUAUAUCUGAAUUACACUUUUAAUAGCUUGCACCUUUUACAUACAUUACCUUUACCCAAACAGGAAACAAAGCAGUUGGUGUAAUGAAAGCUGGACAGACUUUUACAAUUGAACCCAUGAUAAAUGCAGGUAUAUUUCAAAGCUUGUUUUAUGAGCACAUGGGGGGUGAUAUGUUCGUUAAUUGUUUGCUACAUCUUAAUAAAAUAAAUAAAACAUGAACAGGGGUUUGGCGUGAUCGGAUGUGGCCUGAUGGAUGGACAGCUGUUACAGCAGAUGGCCAGCGCAGUGCACAGUUUGAGCACACACUUCUGGUAACUAUGCAGUUUAUGUUCUAUGUGUAGCAUGCUUUCAACUUCUGCAACGGUGACUGCAUUAUAGUUAUUGGAAGUGCUUAUGCGGUUUUAAUACUCAAAUUCCAUGGAAUGAUCUCUACAUGUUCUUUUAACAUUUCUUCCAUAUGUUUCUUAUAAUAUCAUUAGUGAGGUUUGUUCUAGGGUAUAAAUCAGUCAGCUCAUUUGUGUAAAAGAAAAUAAAUAAGUCUUCUACUCAAUAUAGUAACGAUGGAUAAUACUCGAUUAUUGAUGGUAUGAGGAUAGUAAAGGUGAUAGAGAUCUUUGCAGCGGGAGAUUUACAGGAUUUAGAUAUCAAAUUAUCCCAACAUUGAAUUGCAAUGCUAUGCAUCUAUUAACAAAUACACUAAGUAAUAGUUGGCGUUGCAUGGAUAUUAGUCCGAGUUAAUCCUUGUUAUUCACAUUUGUUUGCUGAAUUGCUAUCUAUACGAUGAUCUUGUAUCUCUAAUCUCAUGGUUUAUUCUUCCUACACAUGCAUAGGUGACAGAGACUGGAGUUGAAGUUCUUACAGCUCGGUUGCCAUCAUCACCCAAAGUGUUCCCUUGGUUAAAUGCUUAAUGACUGCGUCCGUCUUGGUUCAUCGAAAGAAGGUGAACAGGUAAGGAUGUAAUUCAGGAUGUAAUGUUACUCCAUGCAUUAGUAAAGAAGAUAAUCAUUGUGUAACUUUACUUCUUAAGUUUUGGUUAAAUUAAAAAUGAAUUAAGUAAAUUGUUUGUAAUCGUUAAUUGAAGCUUAAGAAGUUUUAUGAAAUUAUUUUUGGUCGUUUGCAAGAGUUCAUGAAUCAUUCAUGAAGAAUUGUAUCAUUGUGAAGGAAUUGUAUCGUGUCCAACAUGUAUGAUGCCCAACUGCUUGUGAAUUUCUACAGAGUUUGCAUUUUGGGAAAUAUUUUGUGCUAAUGAAGCAGUGUGAGCCUUCUUGAUGCCGUAUUAUUUCACUUUUAUUAUCUGUUGUACUUUCAGCACUGCAAAAAAAUUAACAUUUGCUAUUUAUCUGAAUGUGAGACAAUGUUAUUAUACCGUUUUGAAUAUGUUCAAGAAGAAUUUUCUGUGUUCAGUUUAAAUUUUAAUUAAUCUUGCUAUGGCAUGUAACUCUUAAUUUACUAAUAUUAUGAUGUUCUUGUCAUAAUCGUUUUGUUAGAUUGCAAGGGAGGUUUUAGAAACCGCUGCUCGUGUAAUACGGCCUGGUAUCACAACAGAUGAAAUUGAUCGGGUGGUCCAUGAGGCUACUAUUGCUGCUGUUAUAGACUGAGUUUCCAUUUUAUUUAGAAUUUCAAUUACUAUGUUUCAUUGUCUAUUAUUGUAAUUGUCUAUGCCUUUACCUUUCAAGUGUAUGGCCAAACCUCAUUGAUCUGUCAUAUGCUUUGGAAUGGCCAUGUGGUUAUAAUCAUUACUAUCUGCAUUUUUAUAUUGUUCAGAAUAAAAAAUUGUGGGUGUAAUGAUGUUUCACUUUUAACUCAAUGCAGGUGGAUAUCCAUCUCCUCUCAACUACCAUUUUUUCCCCAAGUCUUGCUGCACGUAGGUACUUUUUGCGUAAAUAUUUUUGUGAAGUUUCUUGAGAUUGUGUGGUACUGACCUUGCAAUUGCGUCUUGUUAUCUCUCUUCAUUGCAGGUCAGUCAAUGAAGUAAUUUGCCAUGGUAUUCCUGAUGCCAGGUAUGCGUAUGAGAUUUUUUUUUUUUAUUUGAGAUUUUGUUUUUAUUUUUGUUUGGAGGAUAGUAUUGAAAAGGAAUAUGGACAUACUCUUACUGUUGCCUAUAUAUGUAUUUAUUGAAAACAUUUGUUGGUGUAUGUUGUAAUUUUGUUUCUUGCCAGUUCAGUUUUCGGUCCUGAAAUACUAUUGUUAUGGAACAACACUUUGGUAACUUUAAUGAACUGGCAUGAGUUUGUAUUGCGUUGGGGUACAUUACCUGGGAAAACGCUUUGCUUUUUGCCUGCAUCUUUUUCUUUGUGUUUAAAUUGGUCCAGAACUUGAAAUUUGUGUCUACUUUAGAAUAGUAAAAUCCCUUGGUUUCUAGCAUUAUGACCUUUUUAUGUUUAAUGUGAAACUUUUGCUCCAGGAAAUUAGAGGAUGGUGAUAUAAUCAAUGUUGAUGUGACUGUGUAUUAUAAAGGCGUCCAUGGUAAUUUGUAUUCUAGACAUUAACAUGUAGUUCAAUUUUGAAAACACAUGUUCUUUUCUUGAACUGCCGAACUCAUAUUGCAGGUGAUUUAAAUGAAACAUACUUUGUGGGAAAUGUUGAUGAAGAGUCUCAACGGCUAGUCCAAUCUACUUAUGAGAGCAUGGAGAAAGCAAUAUCCAUCAGUACGUGCACAGUAUGAUAUACCAAUUUUAAGAUAAAUAUCUCUCCCUGAUCUCCCUUUUUAACGCAUCCAUCUAAUUAUUGCUUUAACAAUCAUGCAACUCAAUUAUAUCACUGAAAGUCAUCACACCUUUUAUCGGCUACCUAAUAUUCAUUUAUAUGGUAUACUAAUCGUUUUAUCUGAUGUGCUUUUUAUUACUUUUGGUACCAUGGAAGUUGUAACUUGUAAGUAAUCAUUGUUAAAAUGUAUUUGUAGUUGUGUUUGCGUAAUUGUAUCAGUAAAUUCUGUGAAGAUUUUUUAGUUAUAAGUGCAAUCUUGUCACCUGACCUGAUGGUAACUGAAAUGUUGAAAAGUCAACCUAUUUAACCCCUAUUUGAGAGUGCACUCUGGUAAUUUCAAUCGUUGUUAACAAAAAGCAUAAAAGGGAAAGUAUAUUUCUAAUUUAUUUAUAUAUUGAUUUUUGUACAAGUGCAGUAAAACCUGGAAUGCGAUUCCGUGAAGUCGGUGAAGUCAUUAAUCGCCAUGUAACAAUGUCGGGAUUCUCUGUGGUAAUUUGUAGCUUGAGUUUUGAGUUGUGAUGCAGUUUCAAUUUUAACAAAUCAUGC
rnacentral:lncRNA from 1 species